GGUAUAACUUAGUGGCAGACGGGUGAGUAAUGUAUAGGAAUCUACCUAGUAGUACGGAAUAAUUGUUGGAAACGGCAACUAAUACCGUAUACGCCCUACGGGGGAAAAAUUUAUUGCUAUUAGAUGAGCCUAUAUUAGAUUAGCUAGUUGGCGGAGUAAUAGCCUACCAAGGCAAUGAUCUAUAGCUGAUCUGAGAGGAUGAUCAGCCACACUGGAACUGAGAUACGGUCCAGACUCCUACGGGAGGCAGCAGUGGGGAAUAUUGGACAAUGGGCGAAAGCCUGAUCCAGCCAUGCCGCAUGAGUGAAGAAGGCCUUUGGGUUGUAAAGCUCUUUUAGUGAGGAAGAUAAUGACGGUACUCACAGAAGAAGUCCUGGCUAACUCCGUGCCAGCAGCCGCGGUAAUACGGAGAGGGCUAGCGUUAUUCGGAAUUAUU
rnacentral:rRNA from 1 species